rnacentral:rRNA from 1 species
GACGAACGCUGCGGCGUGCUUAACACAUGCAAGUCGACGAAAGACGGAAAGAGCUUGCUCUUUUCAGAAUUGAUUGCCAAACGGUUGGUAACACGUAAACAAACCUGCUUUCAGGAUGGGGACAACAGACGGAAACGACUGCUAAUACCGAAUAAGUUCCAAGGCCGCAUGGCCCAUGGAAGAAAAGGUGGCCUCUACCUGUAAGCUAUCGCCUGAAGAGGGGUUUGCGUCUGAUUAGCUGGUUGGAGGGGUAACGGCCCACCAAGGCGACGAUCAGUAGCCGGUCUGAGAGGAUGAACGGCCACACUGGAACUGAGACACGGUCCAGACUCCUACGGGAGGCAGCAGUGGGGAUCUUCCGCAAUGGGCGAAAGCCUGACGGAGCAACGCCGCGUGAGUGAUGACGGCCUUCGGGUUGUAAAACUCUGUGAUCCCGGGACGAAAAGGCAGAGUGCGAAGAACAAACUGCAUUGACGUACCGAAAAG